GGGCGGAUAGCUCAGUUGGGAGAGCGCAUCCCUCGCACGGAUGAGGCCAGGGGUUCGAAUCCCCUUCCGUCCACCA
rnacentral:tRNA from 1 species